rnacentral:rRNA from 1 species
UUUAUGGGUAGGGCUUCACACGUCAUACAAUGGUCGGUACAGAGGGUUGCCAAGCCGCGAGGCGGAGCCAAUCCCACAAAGCCGAUCGUAGUCCGGAUUGUUCUCUGCAACUCGAGAGCAUGAAGUCGGAAUCGCUAGUAAUCGCAGGUCAGCAUACUGCGGUGAAUACGUUCCCGGGUCUU